AGGAUGAACGCGGGCGGUAUGCCUACUACAUGCAAGUCGAACGGUCACUUCGGUGAUAGUGGCGGACGGGUGAGUAACGCGUGAGAAUCUGCCUCUUGGUUGGGGACAACAGUUGGAAACGACUGCUAAUACCCAAUGUGCCGCAAGGUGAAAGAUUUAUUGCCAAGAGAGGAGCUCGCGUCUGAUUAGCUAGUUGGUAGUGUAAGGGACUACCAAGGCAUCGAUCAGUAGCUGGUCUGAGAGGAUGGGCAGCCACACUGGGACUGAGACACGGCCCAGACUCCUACGGGAGGCAGCAGUGGGGAAUUUUCCGCAAUGGGCGAAAGCCUGACGGAGCAAUACCGCGUGAGGGAGGAAGGCUCUUGGGUUGUAAACCUCUUUUCUUAGGGAAGAACACAAUGACGGUACCUAAGGAAUAAGCAUCGGCUAACUCCGUGCCAGCAGCCGCGGUAAUACGGAGGAUGCAAGCGUUAUCCGGAAUUAUUGGGCGUAAAGCGUCCGUAGGUGGUUUUUCAAGUCUGCUGUCAAAGACCGUGGCUUAACCACGAAAAGGCAGUGGAAACUGAGAGACUAGAGUUCGGUAGGGGUAGCGGGAAUUCCCAGUGUAGCGGUGAACUGCGUAGAUAUUGGGAAGAACAUCGGUGGCGAAGGCGCGCUACUGGACCGAAACUGACACUCAGAGGACGAAAGCUAGGGGAGCGAAAGGGAUUAGAUACCCCUGUAGUCCUAGCGGUAAACGAUGGAAACUAGGUGUGGCUUGUAUCGACCCGAGCCGUGCCGAAGCUAACGCGUUAAGUUUCCCGCCUG
rnacentral:rRNA from 1 species